GUGAAUCAUCGAAUUUUUGAACGCAAAUUGCGCUUCCUGGCAUCCCGGGAAGUAUGCCUGUUUGAGGGUCAGUAUUAAUAAAAAAUCGGUUUAGUUACAAAUUGUGACGUUUCCGGAGUUUGGGCUAUCUUAACAUUUUUGGUAAGAAGCUUAAAAAUGACCUUUUUUGCGCAUUUUUUAAAGUAACUUAAUUUUUUUUUUUUCUUCUUUUUUUAUUGCAAAAAUUUUUUUAA
rnacentral:misc_RNA from 1 species